rnacentral:rRNA from 1 species
AUGCAAGUCGAACGCGUUGGCCCAAUUGAUUGAUGGUGCUUGCACCUGAUUGAUUUUGGUCGCCAACGAGUGGCGGACGGGUGAGUAACACGUAGGUAACCUGCCCAGAAGCGGGGGACAACAUUUGGAAACAGAUGCUAAUACCGCAUAACAACGUUGUUCGCAUGAACAACGUUUAAAAGAUGGCUUCUCGCUAUCACUUCUGGAUGGACCUGCGGUGCAUUAGCUUGUUGGUGGGGUAACGGCCUACCAAGGCGAUGAUGCAUAGCCGAGUUGAGAGACUGAUCGGCCACAAUGGGACUGAGACACGGCCCAUACUCCUACGGGAGGCAGCAGUAGGGAAUCUUCCACAAUGGGCGCAAGCCUGAUGGAGCAACACCGCGUGAGUGAAGAAGGGUUUCGGCUCGUAAAGCUCUGUUGUUAAAGAAGAACACGUAUGAGAGUAACUGUUCAUACGUUGACGGUAUUUAACCAGAAAGUCACGGCUAACUACGUGCCAGCAGCCGCGGUAAUACGUAGGUGGCAAGCGUUAUCCGGAUUUAUUGGGCGUAAAGAGAGUGCAGGCGGUUUUCUAAGUCUGAUGUGAAAGCCUUCGGCUUAACCGGAGAAGUGCAUCGGAAACUGGAUAACUUGAGUGCAGAAGAGGGUAGUGGAACUCCAUGUGUAGCGGUGGAAUGCGU